rnacentral:misc_RNA from 1 species
AAAGUCGUAACAAGGUUUCCGUAGGUGAACCUGCGGAAGGAUCAUUAUCGAAUGAAUCUAGAGUCGGUUGUCGCUGGCCUCUUCACCGAGGCAUGUGCACGCCUUCUCUUUCAUCCACACACACCUGUGCACUUGUGAGACGAAGGCCUUUUUCCUUUCGACGAGAGGAGGGUUUUCGUCUGCCAAUACAUAAACUCAUAUAUUUUAAACCGAAUGUAAUUGAUGUAACGCAUCUAUAAACUAAGUUUCAACAACGGAUCUCUUGGCUCUC